UCCCCGAUGGUGUAAUGGUUAACAUCACCGGUUUUCAUUAGAAAAUCACAAGUGAGAGAUCACCCGGUAGCUCCGGGUUCAAUUCCCGGUCGAGGAA